CCCAGUGCUCUGAAUGUCAAA
rnacentral:ncRNA from 2 species